rnacentral:lncRNA from 1 species
GUUUAGUGCUUAUUCAUGGCCAGCCUUGUCCCUGCCCUGCCUGGUGAGGUCUGAGCUGCCAGGUCCGGCAGCGGCUCUAGGAUGUGACUCUGCCCCUGGUUCUGGAGACCACGGGUCAUCAGCAAAUGUACUGAGCAUGAAGACAAGGUUGCAAAGGGUCUAGAUUGGGUCUACCCAGGAAGCAAAGCUCAGGUUCCUGAGGGCUCCUGGAUCCCCCCAGUCUCUCACAGAUGUGAACGGCUGUCUCAUGUUUCUGCUGCAACGGUUAUGAGCUGCUCCCAUUGCUAUGACUGACUGGGAGCCAACACAAAUCGUUCUUCCCUACUACAGUUGUUUCUAUCAGGUAUUUUGUCAAAGCAACAGGGACUCAGCACAGGCAGAGAGUGCAAGCUCAGAGAAUCGCUGUCCUUAUCACUCUCUAUCACCCCAGCCUGAGGACAGAAGACUGAAUUUUCUGCACCCCAAGGAGCUGGAACAAUGUCCUCUGAAUCCAUCAAUGCAGUCGGGUUCCUGUAGCCACUGCUCAUGUUCCUGGAAACACAGAGGUUUCCCCAUCACCCAUCAAUGAUUAUUUUUGUUCUUCAUGGAAAAUCCACCAGUGACUGGCAGAUGGAACCCAGGGCUUCUGCAUACACUAGCUCAGCUAGAAGGGGAAUGGAUAAGGACACGGGACCUCCCAUCUCUGUGGGGGUGUGGACGUACAUCUGGCUAUGCAGUCCCAGCUGUCUGUAAGACUACAGCAGAAACCUGAGAUCAGCAGAGACCCCAUCCAGUCCCCAGCAACCUGUACAGACACACUGUGCCCUGUGGUAAAACACACAAUUGAGUUGUUC